rnacentral:lncRNA from 1 species
UAGCACAAACAUUCAAAGAUGUUUCGGAAUCAGUUAAGCUAUAUGGGCCAUGGAGUGGCGCAUGGGUUGGGGAAUCUGGAGGUGCUUACAAUAGCGGUGGCAAACAUGUCUCCAAUACCUUUGCUAAUGGUUUUUGGUAUUUGGAUCAGCUGGGAAUGUCCUCCACUUUCGAUCAUAAGGUGUACUGCAGACAAGCUUUGAUCGGAGGAAACUAUGGUCUUCUUAAUACAACUACAUUUGCCCCUAACCCCGAUUACUAUGGGUAAGCAGUCCUUAUAUACAAAUAUGUUUCAGUCUUCAUCCUGACAAUGUUUAAUUGCAAUCUCUCUUUUUUUUAACAGCGCGUUGUUGUGGCAUCGCCUCAUGGGAACUAGAGUUCUUCAAGUUAGUCAUGAUGGAUCUCCUUAUCUACGUUCAUACGCGCAUUGUUCCAAACAUUCUGUGAGUUUAUUCUUAGCUUGGUACAUUUUUUUACAAAUUUUUGGUAAAAGGCAAUGUUUGCGGGAAAUUUGAUAUGUGUUAUUACUUAUGUAUGCAGAAAAGAGGUGACAUAACGGUGCUUCUGAUAAAUAUGUCAAACUCUACCACUUUUAUAGUAAAUACUAGGAAUGAUCUAAAUCUUUACCCAAGUGAACGUACCGUGAGGCUCCCACCAAGAGAAGAGUACCAUCUGACACCAGAAGACGGCAACAUUCAAAGCGAAGUAGUGUUAUUGAACGAUACACCAUUGAAGCUUACAAAGUCGAUGGAUAUCCCAAAUCUGAACCCAGCAUUUGCUUCUCCACUUGAUCCUAUCAAAGUUGCACCUGAUUCUUUUGUCUUUGCAGUCCUAAGAGGUUUUGACGCUCCUGCUUGUUCUUCUUCAUAAGUAGCAGAAGAGACUGCGGUUUUCAUAUGAUUAGUAUAGGAAUCUGCAAAGGUUAAGGCUCGACAAUAUGGAAAAGACAUGAUUGUUCUUAGCAACCUUGUAAAAAGGCUGUAUGCCAACUCUUCUUAUCAGCCAAAGCUAUUGGGUCCUGCUGGCUUCUACGAUCAGGACUGGUUCAAUGAAUUCCUCCAGGUUUCGGGACCAGGAAUUGUUCAUGGUUUAACUCACCAUAUCUACAAUCUUGGUCCAGGUAUACAAUCUAUACAUGUCAGACAUGAUUUUAGAUGUAUAAUAGUAAAGUUUGUCCAUUCCGAAAUCUAACUGUGUAGUAAUGGAUUCAGGUGUUGAUGCAAACCUUAUAAAUAAAGUUCAAGACCCCUAUUUCCUAGACGAAAUAGCACAAACAUUCAAAGAUGUUUCGGAAUCAGUUAAGCUAUAUGGGCCAUGGAGUGGCGCAUGGGUUGGGGAAUCUGGAGGUGCUUACAAUAGCGGUGGCAAACAUGUCUCCAAUACCUUUGCUAAUGGUUUUUGGUAUUUGGAUCAGCUGGGAAUGUCCUCCACUUUCGAUCAUAAGGUGUACUGCAGACAAGCUUUGAUCGGAGGAAACUAUGGUCUUCUUAAUACAACUACAUUUGCC